AUUUUAGCAUACUGCUGAUCUUUACAUAUUUUAGUUUAGAGCCACAUUCAUUGAUUUAUUUUUUUUUUUAGCCACUGGGGCAGCACAACAAGCUAAGUUUGAUUGAUAAACAUGUUAGCAAACAGUUUGUUUAGCUUACUUUAGUUUACUUAUUUAGCUACAUAUCCAACAAAUAUGGAGCAACAUUAACUGUCAUUGGGAGGAAGUCCUGUUUCUGGCCACCUGAUCAAUGUGGCAGGAGUGAAAAUCAACAUCAACAUUUGUCGUGUUGUGGUUUCAGAAGGAGGAAGACGGUUGAUAACAGAUACAAAAUAGGAUGUCGGCUCUACAGAAAGGAAUGGAGGAAGGGACGGAUGGACGGAUGGACGGAUGGACGAAUGAAGG